AGUUAAGUAGCUUAGAGAAAAGCGUAUGUUUUGAAAGCAUAAGACAGAAGUUGAAGUCUUCUAUUAACUU
rnacentral:tRNA from 1 species